UACGUAGGGGGCAAGCGUUGUCCGGAAUUAUUGGGCGUAAAGCGUGCGCAGGCGGUGAUGUAAGACAGAUGUGAAAUCCCCGGGCUCAACCUGGGAACUGCAUUCGAUACUGCCGUGCUUGAGGACUGGAGAGGAGACUGGAAUUUACGGUGUAGCGGUGAAAUGCGUAGAUAUCGUAAGGAAGACCAGUGGCGAAGGCGGGUCUCUGGACAGUUCCUGACGCUGAGGCACGAAGGUCAGGGGAGCAAACGGG
rnacentral:rRNA from 1 species